rnacentral:rRNA from 1 species
UACGAAGGGUGCAAGCGUUACUCGGAAUUACUGGGCGUAAAGCGUGCGUAGGCGGUUUGUUAAGUCCGUUGUGAAAGCCCUGGGCUCAACCUGGGAAUUGCAGUGGAUACUAGCGAGCUAGAGUGCGGUAGAGGAUGGUGGAAUUCCCGGUGUAGCGGUGAAAUGCGUAGAGAUCGGGAGGAACACCCGUGGCGAAGGCGGCCAUCUGGACCAGCACCGACGUUCAGGCACGAAAGCGUGGGGAGCAAACAGG